CAGGGUGUAGCUCAGUCUGGUCCAGAGCUCUCGCCUUGGAAGCGAGAGGUCGGUGGUUCGAAUCCACUCACCCUGACCA
rnacentral:tRNA from 1 species